rnacentral:rRNA from 1 species
UACGUAGGUGGCAAGCGUUGUCCGGAAUUAUUGGGCGUAAAGCGCGCGCAGGCGGUCCUUUAAGUCUGAUGUGAAAGCCCACGGCUCAACCGUGGAGGGUCAUUGGAAACUGGAGGACUUGAGUACAGAAGAGGAAAGCGGAAUUCCACGUGUAGCGGUGAAAUGCGCAGAUAUCGGGAAGAACACCCGUGGCGAAGGCAGCUCUCUGGGACAGUACUGACGCUAAUACACGAAAGCGUGGGGAGCAAACAGG